rnacentral:tRNA from 1 species
GGCCGAGUGGCGGAAUGGCAGACGCGGCGGAUUCAAAAUCCGCUAUCCGAAAGGAUGUGCCGGUUCAAGUCCGGCCUCGGCUA